rfam:Phanerochaete carnosa HHB-10118-sp unplaced genomic scaffold PHACAscaffold_1, whole genome shotgun sequence.
UCCCGUUUAGCUCAGCUGGUAGAGCGCGUCACUAGUAAUGACGAGGUCAGUCGUUCGAGUCGGCUAAUGGGAA